UCAGGCCUAACACAUGCAAGUCGAGCGCUCACCUUCGGGUGGGAGCGGCGCACGGGUGAGUAACACGUGGGAACCUACCUUGAAGUACGGAAUAACUGAGGGAAACUUCAGCUAAUACCGUAUACGCCCUACGGGGGAAAGAUUUAUCGCUUCAAGACGGGCCCGCGUUGGAUUAGCUAGUUGGUGAGGUAAUGGCUCACCAAGGCAACGAUCCAUAGCUGAUUUGAGAGAAUGAUCAGCCACACUGGGACUGAGACACGGCCCAGACUCCUACGGGAGGCAGCAGUGGGGAAUAUUGGAGGAUGGGCGCAAGCCUGAUCCAGCCA
rnacentral:rRNA from 1 species